UCAAUCCACGUAUUUUGUCCGUUUUUGUUUUUUUUUUCUUUUCCUCUUCCCAUUAUUUUGCCCCUCCCUCCACGUGUCCUGCUCGGUUUUUUCAUCUCUUCUUUUCCCAUUCCCAUUCCAUUCUCAUUCUCACUCUGUUCACCCUUCCCCAUUCUCAUUCUCUUCUGAUCCCUUUCUCUCACUCCUCAUUUCUUCCUCGUCCUCUAUUCUUUUCUUACUCUCUCUUGAACUACAAUGGUAAAAGACAUGUGUUUCCUUUACAAGAAGGUGGAAGAACAUAUUAAAGCUGCGAUUUUUAUCUCAAAAACUCCAUGAGUUCAGAGAAGUUGGAAGAACACAUUAAAUAUGUCAUUUUUAUCUCAAAAACUCCAUGACUACAGG